GCCUCAAUAGCACAAUGGUAGUGCAUCUCGGCUCGUUAGCUUGAACUGUCUGAGAAAAUGCCCGUUCGAUUCGGCCUUGAGGCU